AUUGAACGCUAGCGGGAUGCUUAACACAUGCAAGUCGAGCGGCAGCGCGGACUUUGCUCUUGCGUCGAGUGGCGGACGGGUGAGUAAUGUCUAGGAACGUGCCCGGUAGCGGGGGAUAACUUCGCGAAAGGGGAGCUAAUACCGCAUACGCCCUGCGGGGGAAAGCAGGGGAUCGUCAGACCUUGCACUAUUGGAUCAGCCUAGAUCGGAUUAGCUAGUUGGUGGGGUAAAGGCCUACCAAGGCGACGAUCCGUAGCUGGUUUGAGAGGAUGAUCAGCCACACUGGGACUGAGACACGGCCCAGACUCCUACGGGAGGCAGCAGUGGGGAAUUUUGGACAAUGGGGGAAAGCCUGAUCCAGCCAUGCCGCGUGUGUGAUGAAGGUCUUCGGGUUGUAAAGCACUUUUGGUUGGGAAGAAGGGCAGUGAGUUAAUACCUUGCUGUAUUGACGGUACCUGCAGAAUAAGCACCGGCUAACUACGUG
rnacentral:rRNA from 1 species